GGGGUUUUCGAAGCGCGAGGUCUUUGGGCCACCUCCCAUCCGUGUCUAUUGUACCCUGUUGCUUCGGCGGGCCCGCCGCUUGUCGGCCGCCGGGGGGGCGCCUCUGCCCCCCGGGCCCGUGCCCGCCGGAGACCCCAACACGAACACUGUCUGAAAGCGUGCAGUCUGAGUUGAUUGAAUGCAAUCAGUUAAAACUUUCAACAAUGGAUCUCUUGGUUCCGGCAUCGAUGAAGAACGCAGCGAAAUGCGAUAACUAAUGUGAAUUGCAGAAUUCAGUGAAUCAUCGAGUCUUUGAACGCACAUUGCGCCCCCUGGUAUUCCGGGGGGCAUGCCUGUCCGAGCGUCAUUGCUGCCCUCAAGCCCGGCUUGUGUGUUGGGUCGCCGUCCCCCUCUCCGGGGGGACGGGCCCGAAAGGCAGCGGCGGCACCGCGUCCGAUCCUCGAGCGUAUGGGGCUUUGUCACAUGCUCUGUAGGAUUGGCCGGCGCCUGCCGACGUUUUCCAACCAUUCUUUCCAGGUUGACCUCGGAUCAGGUAGGGAUACCCGCUGAACUUAAGCAUAUCAAUAAGCGGAGGAA
rnacentral:rRNA from 1 species